UACGGAAGGGGCAAGCGUUGUUCGGAAUCAUUGGGCGUAAAGGGCGCGUAGGUGGUUCUGUAUGUCUACCGUGAAAGCAUACGGCUCAACUGUAUUUUGUCGGUAGAAACUGCAGGACUUGAGGCUGGGAGGGGCUGGUGGAAUUCCCUGUGUAGCGGUGAAAUGCGCAGAUAUCAGGAGGAACACCGAUGGCGAAGGCGGGUCUCUGGGCCGAUACUGACGCUGAGGAGCGAAAGCGUGGGGAGCGAACAGG
rnacentral:rRNA from 1 species